GUGUCUUUCUGUGCUUGUGUGUACCUGUCUGUGUUUGUCUAUGCUUGCAAACAGUCACAUAGUUACAUAGGCUGAAAAGAGACAUGUAUCCAUUAAGUUCAGCCUUCCUCAGAUCUGUUUUUUGUUGAUCCAAAAGAAGGCAAAAAAUCUCAGUUUGAAGCACUUUCAAUUUUGCAACAAAAAAUGCUUUCUUGACCUCAGAGUGGCAGUCAGAUUAAUCCUUGGAUCAAGAAG